AAAGUGUCCUACGUAGAAAGUCUAGCCAACUGCUAUGGCCUCCAUCGGAGGUGCAGAGAGGGUAACCGAUCUGUGCUGAGCGUCCGACAAGGGGGGAAACGCAGGCCAGCUAUUGAGCUCCGAAAUCUGAACUUCCGUGUGCCGACCCGGUCCCUCUAUGGGGAAGGCAACACCGAUGGGUUCGUCAUUAGGCGAGAACCCAUCGGACACGGCGGAGUCACGAGAACC
rnacentral:ncRNA from 1 species